rnacentral:misc_RNA from 1 species
UCAAACUUGGUCAUUUAGAGGAAGUAAAAGUCGUAACAAGGUUUCCGUAGGUGAACCUGCGGAAGGAUCAUUAUUGAAUAAACUUGAUGUGGUUGUAGCUGGCUCUCUUGGGAGUAUGUGCAUACCCGUCAUCUUUAUAUUUCCACCUGUGCACCUUUUGUAGACCCAGAAGACUUGAGCAAUCUUGUCGUUUGGGCCUAUGUUUAUCAUAUACCCCAUAGUAUGUAUUAGAAUGUAUCAGUGGGCUUCAUGCAUAUAAACACUAUACAACUUUCAGCAACGGAUCUCUUGGCUCUCGCAUCAAUGAAGAACGCAGC